rnacentral:lncRNA from 1 species
AUUUCCUACUAUAGGAGGCAGACUCCAAAAUGACCCCAAUGACCUUGCUUUCUGGGUGUUCAUGCCCUUGUAUAAUCCCUUCCCACUGAGUGAGGGCUGAAUGACAGAUUUCCAACAACCAGAAUACAACAAAAGUAAUGGAAUGCCACUUCUCAGAUUAGUUGAAAAAAAAAGACUGUGAUUUGUGCCUCUUUUGUCCUCUUGCUCUCUCUCUCUCAGCCCUCACUAUUGGGAAGCAAGUUGCCAUCUUAUGAGCAGGGAGAGGCCCACAUCCCAAGGAGCUGAUGUUUCUGGCCAACAGCCAGUGAGGACCUGAGGCCUGCCAGGUCACAUGAGGGAGCCUGGAAGUGGGUCUUCUCAGUCCUGCCAACAGCUGUGAGUGAGCAUGGACGCAGAUCCUCUCCCAGUGGAGCAUUUGGAUGACCACGGCUCUGGCUAACACCUCACUUACAGCCUUGGGAGAGAUUCUGAGUCAGAGGCAUCCAGCUAAAUUGACCCACAGACACGGUAAAUCAGGGAUUUCUUCUUGGUUUGGAUCCACUGUUGAUUUUAGGUUACAAAAAGAUGGCAGAUUGCAUCUUGGGCACUCUCUUGUAUGACUUUUUGGAGAAGCCAGUUUUCAUGUUGUGAGAGGCCUGGCAGAGGGGCCCAAAUGAGUUCGCUGGGAAGCGGAUCACAGAAACCAUGAGAUCCUAGUUAUAGCAGCAGCCACUCCAGACGGCCUGCCGCUGCCAUCACGCCGACUGCAGCAGGGAGGUGCUGCCGAGGAUACAUGCUCCAUGGAGCUCCAGGCAGCAGGGGACAAGCGCCUAUAAAAGCCCCAGGCUCAGCCAGAGCAGAGCAGAUGAUGGAUGACCAGCUGCAGAGAAGAGCUACCCUUUCUGCUGACAGCAGAAGAUGUCCCAACAACCAGCAGAAGAGAGAAGCUAUCCAUUCUAGGGCCUCUUCUCUGCUGAGAGCUUCAGAAACCUGCAGAGACAUCGAGACUACCAGCUGCAGAGUGGAACAAUCCACUCCAGGGCCACCUCUCUGCUGAGAGCUAAGAAGACAAUGAGAUGACCUGCCUGCUAGGAGGAGCUUCCCUCUCCAGGGUCUCCUUUCUGCUAGGAGCUGAACUCUCAUUGGAACAUCCUGGCUGUGGAAAGGAGCUACCCUCUGCAGGUCUCCUGUGUGCUGUUCUAUUGAUCAAUAAAGCUCCCCUUCAUCUCGCUCAUCCUCCACUUGGCUCUGUACCUCAUGCUUCCUAGUUGCAGGACAAGAACUCGGGACCUACCAAAUGGCAGAGCUAAAAGAGCUAUAACACAGGACUGAAACAUGCCCCCUGCUUGCCACAUUGAGGGCAAAGAGAAGGAGAUAAGAUCUGUGCCUUCUCAGGCAGCCCAGACCUGGGAGCUCCCUGAGCCAGGGCUGUGACUCCCUCUUUGGGGUCCUGUGGUGCCUAGUAUCUCCAAGCUUCCAGGUGCCACUGCAUUUCCCGGUGCCAGCUGGGGAAGCUUCCUGCAGUGCACCUGGUCUGGCCACAGCCUCACAGAGAGUCAGUGCCUGUGCCAGCACCUGUAACUGCCCGCCCCAUUGCAGCAGCCGGCAUGUCCGAUUGCACACUGGCUGAACCCCAUGCUCCCUCACACACCCCUUGCCACUCCAUGCCUGACUUACCCUUGGCAGGUAUGGGAUCCAGGCCAGUAGUGUCAGCCAAGUAAAGCCUGCCAGGCCAGGUAGGCAGAACAAACCCAGCGGGCCUAAGCAAGACUUGGGCAAAGACAUCACCAGCCAGAAAAACAAUAUCCCAAGAAUCUUGUGACACUAGGCAUAGUGAAGUUCUUUAUUAAUUUGUAGAUUUUUAACCUGGAAAAUUCUAAUAUUUUCAACUAUUAAAAAAGAUAAUCCCCAAAAUAAUGCUUUAUUGUCAUGUAAAAUAUUAAAUAGAUUGUAUGUAACUUAGCUAUAUUAUUCUAAGAUAAAAUUCAUUAACUUGUCUUUAAGAAACUAGUUCCUAAAAUGCACUUUGAACUGUAUUUAUAAUCUCACUAGUCCUCUACUUAAUUAGGAAGUGGAAUAAAAUAUUUGAUAUAUUUUCUUUUUAUAUUUACAAAAGUCACCAUUUAAAUUCUUUGAAUUUUAACAUGUUAUACUUUUGGAGGAUCCACUGAGACACUAAAGUGGGUUCAUAAAGCCAACCAAACUGUGAUAGCACAGAAAUGUACUUCAGGAGCUGUUUAGGAGGAGAGACUUUUCUUUCUCCUCAAAGUGAUUCUCAAAUAGCAAUAGAGUCCUGGUGCAGUGGCUCAUGCCUACAAUCGAGCACUUUGGGAGGCCAAGGUGGGAGAAUUGUUUGAGCCCAGGAGUUCAAGAUCAGCAUAGGCAACAUAGCGAGACCUCAUCUCUACAAAAAAUACAGAAAUUAGCCAGGUGUGCCGGCAUGUGCUGUGUUUUUUGUCCAGCUACUUGGGAGGCUGAAGUGGAGGGAUUUCUUGAAACUGGGAGGUCAAGACUGAAGUAAGCCAUGAUCCUGCCACUAUACUCCUACAUGGGGGAAAGAGCAAGACUCUGUCUCAAAAAAAAAAAAAAAAAAAGAAAAAAAGAAAAAAAAGGCAAUAGAACUGUACCUUUGCUGUGAUGCUAGUCUACUACAAGUUGGCUUUUUUCUUUAAAUUUUGAAUUUUUCAUUUUCUUUUCUAGUUCUUCACCAUUUUGGUUCUGGAUAUAGUUUCCACUAGAAGAUGAUAAUGAUGAUAAUGAUAAUCCCCAUGCAUGCAUUAAUAAUUGGGAAUGUAAUUUUAUAAUCUGAACUUUAAAGACCUCUGUUAAGAUUAAAGGGAUUUCUUGUCCUUCAUAUGAGACAUGACAAGGAAUGAGAGUUGCAUUUUUUAAAUUCUUUGUUUCUCUAUUUGUGUAUCCAAAUAAUUUCAUAAAACAUUUUAUAACUACUAGAAGGGAAAAUAAUCCUUUGAAAUCUUGAACAGUGUAUUUUGGUGUUUCCUUGAUUACUUAAUCUGUUGCAGAGAUUGUUAUAAUUAAAGCUACAAUUUUCUCUGUGUUGCUAUAACUCAGAAGUCAUUCUCUCUCAUUCUGUAUGAAGUAUUUUCCUAAGAAGAGUAUUAAUAAAUAAAAUUUAGAAGUCUCUGAAUUUUAAGGAGCUAAGAUAUAAUUGGUUUACAUAGUAUAAGAAGUUCAUGAAUCUAUAGUAAUAUCUAAAGAAAACUUCAAAUGUACUAGUAAUUUAGGGAAAAAAUUCUUCUUAAAGGAUCUGCUAGCAGCUUAGAAAGAUUUUAAUUUACGAAUCUAAAUUCAUGCAAUAAAAGUGAAUCUUUGUAGACUAUGUGUUAAGCCACAAGACAAGCCUCAACAAAUUUUUAAAAAAUGAAAUCACAUCAACU